CCUGCUUCCGUCUGACUUGACAGAAUAAAAGUAGAUGCGGAAGUUUCUGAGCUGAGAAACCAACAAAGCGACGAAGCCGAAACUUCGCAGCUGGAAACUUUUUUAUAUUUGUGAGAACCGGAAGUGACCUGAACGCUCCAUCAUGCCUGAUGUCUACUCCCCGACCACGGCCCCGAACCCCAAGUCCUCCUGGAUCCGGGUCCCCUCAGAGGCUCUGGAGAAGGUCCGCUGUGGGGUCAAGGUCAUCGAAGUGCUCCUGUCCUUCGUGGCCUUCAUCCUGGAGGAGAUGGUCCACAGCUGCAUCAGCUGCUCGACGCUCUACUUCUUUGAGUUCGUGAGCUGCUCCUCCUUCCUGUUCACGCUGCUCCUCCUCGUGCUCCUCUACACCUCCCUGAGGGGCCGGGUGGGCAUCAGCUGCUGGCCCCAGCUGGACUUUGUGUACACGGCCGUCAUCGCGGGCUUGUUCCUCGUGUCCUCCAUCGUCUUCGCCUCCAGCAACAGCGACACGACGAUAGAGAAGAGCGCCGCGACGUUUGGCUUCCUAGCGUCCUCGGCGUUCCUCCUCGACCUCGGCUUGUUCGUGAAGACUCUCGGGUUUCCGUUUCAGAAAGACGGGAAGCCGACGCCCGGCAACGGCGGCGCGGCGCCCGGCAACGGCGGCACGCCGGAGACGGCGAAGCUCAACGAGGCGGAUUGAAUCCUCACAAACGUCGGAUUAUUUCACUCGUCCUUUAACGUAUCGGCAGGAGGCGGAGCUUCAGCGGCCACGGCGUCCAUCUUUAGAGUUCUUUUAUAAAUCCUGUUGUCAACAUAAUCAAUCUCCCAAUCAAAGAACCGAUCCCAGCCGCUCCGUGUUCGGUCUUAAAGGAACAGGACGCGGUUCUUGAGGAACGGAGACACAGAACCACAGAACCACUAAAGUUUGUUUGUAUUCAGGAUUUUUAAUCAACGCGAUGAAUUGGACCCAUUUAUGGAUUUAUUGUCGUGUUGCUUGUUGUUUUUUAUUAUUGAGUAUCAUGAAACAGACAAAAUUAUUUUAAUUUACUCAAAGUUAAGUUUGGUAUAAAUCAACAAAAGAUAUAAUUGUUUUAAAUACAAUAAAUCACCAUGUUGACGGUAAAACUGAGUGACCAUAGUAUUUACGUGUUUUCCGUUCGGGCCCUGAACGCAUCGUGAAAGUUUAGGCAGACAUGAUUUUGAAGUUUGUACCGAAAUGAAGAAAAAGUGUCUUUUAAAAACAUGUAAAUGUCGUUUAUAUAUUAAUAAUAUAAUCUUUUUUAUUCCACUAACAACCAGCAGACGGUUUUAAUUCAACCGGUUUCUUACUUCCUGUUUCUUUAUCAAAUCGGAGAUGUAUGUUUUUUUUUAUAUUGUCGUCUUCUAUUGGAUCAAUUCUUCUUUUCUUUUUUUUUAAUUCAAUGUAUUAUGAACAAAAUUUUCGUUUUGUCAAAUUUGAUUCCAUUCUGAUUUAUAAAUUAUGAAGAAAUCAUCCCGCCUGAUCUUUUUAUUUUAAAUUGUUUGGUGUGUCGUUGAAUGGAAAUGUUUGAGUGAAUUGACCCUGUGCUAAGCCCCGCCCCCUCCUGUUUCUGCUUCAAGUUCUUCAUGUUCAAUCAUUUAAAAGCUAACGCAGCUAUACCUUUAGCAGCUAGCUUAGCAUAGAGCUGUUGUUGCUGUAUUCGGCUAACGUUGGCUCCACAGGCUUCAUUCACUUUCUUUGUGGUCGUUUUGUGUCUUUGUCUUUGAGGUUGUUUUGUGUCUCUUUGUCUUUGAGGUCGUUUUGUGUCUCUUUGUCUUUGAGGUUGUUUUGUGUCUCUUUGUCUUUGAGGUCGUUUUGUGUCUCUUUGUCUUUGAGGUCGUUUUGUGUCUCUUUGUCUUUGAGGUCGUUUUGUGUCUCUUUGAGGUCGUUUUGUGUCUCUUUGAGGUCGUUUUGUGUCUCUUUGUCUUUGUGGUCGUUUUGUGUCUCUUUGUCUUUGAGGUUGUUUUGUGUCUCUUUGAGGUCGUUUUGUGUCUCUUUGUCUUUGUAAUAAAAGACUUUAAUCUGUAAGACAUGAUUUAUACUUAAUAAGGAAACAUUGAAUUAAUAACUUUGUCGUUCUGACGAUCCAGAAAUCAGUUUUUAUAUCAACAUGAAUCACUUAAAUUAAUGUUUUAAAGGACCAAGAACGUUUAUUUUGGAGAAAAUUAAUGUUUUUUAAAGUGUAUUUUAAGUUUCAUUUAUAAUUCAAACUGAGAACGUCUUGUUUUAAAUAAAUGUGUUUUUUAAUUAUUG